rnacentral:rRNA from 1 species
UCGCGAAAACUUUGCAAUACACGAAAGUGUGACAGGGCUAUCCCGAGUGCCAUCCGCUGAGGAAGGCUUUUACCCAGUCUAGAACGCUGGGGGAAUAAGGAGAGGGCAAGUCUGGUGUCAGCCGCCGCGGUAAUACCAGCUCUCCGAGUGGUGUGGAUGUUUAUUGGGCCUAAAGCAUCCGUAGCUGGCUAGGUUAGUCCCCUGUUAAAUCCACCGAAUUAAUCGUUGGAUUGCGGGGGAUACUGCUUGGCUAGGGGACGAGAGAGGCAGACGGUAUUUCCGGGGUAGGGGUGAAAUCCUAUAAUCCCGGGAGGACCACCAGUGGCGAAGGCUGUCUGCUAGAACGCGCCCGACGGUGAGGGAUGAAAGCUGGGGGAGCGAACCGGAUUAGAUACCCGGGUAGUCCCAGCUGUAAACGAUGCAGACUAGGUGUUUGGACGGCCACGUGCCGUUCUAGUGCCGCAGGGAAACUGUUAAGUCUGCCGCCUGGGGAUACGAUCGCAAGAUUGAAACUUAAGGAAUUGGCGGGGAGCACCG